UCACGUUUGCUUCAUUAAUAUUGUCCUAAGACGGCACCUGCAGUCUUCCCCAAACUGGUUGUGACACUGAACAUCUCCUAAGUCUGUGCUUUAGGGCCAUGACUUCACAUGACACGACUACACCUGCGUGCGUAGUUUACAUCUAUCUGGAGGAUUGAAGGUCAUGUCCACCAGGGGGCAGUGCGAGAAAACCAUCUUGGUCGGUUCCUUCGUUUCCAGUCUCACUUGAGGGAGUCAAGAUGGUGCUCUGAAGAACACGCUUUGGUUAGAGCUGCAAACCGACUUGUUUUGUUUACCAUGUAGUGUGAACUACAUGCAGUUUUACUACUGUCUGGUUUUAUUUAAUCAUCCAGUGACAGCAAUAACUAUACAUAGUCAUGAUGACAGGUUCUGAAAAAAGAAAAAAAUGAUGGAAGAGAUUAAACAAGAGAUAAAACAAUAGGACCUUUUCAAAUCAGUCACAAACUGAUUUUUGGCUUCUUUCUAAUGAAUUAGGAAAUAUUUAAACAAACAUUAUACCUUCACCAUUUUCUGACCACCGAGCCAUUGACAUCCAUAUAUCCAUAUUGUCAUCGUCUAUCCAUCCAUCCAUCCAUCCAUCCAUCCAUCCAUCCAUUUUCCAAACCGCUUAUCCUACUGGGUUGCGGGGGGUCCGGAGCCUAUCCCGGAAGCAAUGGGCACGAGGCUGGUAACAACCCAGGAUGGGGGGCCAGCCCACCGCAGGGCACACUCACACACCAUGCACUCUCACAUGCAUUCCUACGGGCAAUUUAGCAAGUCCAAUUAGCCUCAACAUGUUUUUGGACUGUGGGGGGAAACCGGAGUACCCAGAGGAAACCCCACAACGACAUGGGGAGAACAUGCAAUCUUUGUCAUCGUCUACUGGAUAUAAAAUAUCUUCAAACGGGAUAUUAAACAGUUCAAUCUUGAGAAAUAAAUUAGCUAUUUUAAAUAUAGAAUAAUUAACUGACUUACACUGGAACAGACCCAAUACAGAAAAAAGUAUUGUAAUAGUAACAUGAUGUAGCAAAAUUUGUCAGAAGGUUUAGUAGUGACUUGGUGCGAAUCGGAAGAGAUGAAGAAAAGAAAAUUAUAAAUGAGAUUAACUGCUUUAACCUGCAAACCAGUCAGUCGCCUGACUGAUACAGAAAAUAAUGUAGGACGUGACUUACAGAAUAAAUUGGUUGAUUAUAUAUAGACAUAAGGCAGAAGGAGCCUUUGUUAGAUUGUGGAAAAAAUGGCUUGAACAAGGUGAGCAGAACUCUUACAAGUUCUUACAUGGCUUGAACAAGGUGAGCCUAUUUCUUUAGGCUAGAAAGACAGCAAGCCAGGAACAACAGCAUUAUGCGGGCGAGGAUUUAUGGAAAUGUCGCAGAUGACAUCAAGAUAGCCAACUUCUCAACUGAGUUCUUCAAUAAUUUGUAUGUCAGGAGUCUUGAUCGAAGAUUUUCGAUUUCUUCUCAAACAUCACAGGAAUAACUGAUGUGGAUCGUGAACUUUGUGACGUCCCAGUUGGUUUAACUGAGAUGUCUGCAGCAAUAAAUUGCUUAAAAAAUAAUAAAUCGCUGGGAACAGACAGUCUAAUCCAGUGUCUUUUUUCAUCAUUGCUGGAGAUUUCAAUCAGGCAAAUAUGAAGCCAAUUUUCCCCAAAUUCUUCCAAUAUAUGAACAUCCCAGCUAGAGGGAGAAUCUGUCUGGACAAUGUUUACACAAACGUUUGUGAGGCCUACAAGGCCCUUCCACCCCCACCUCGGCUACUCAGACCAUGUCACUGUGUUCAUGGUUCCUGUGUAUAAAUCCCUGCUGAAGCACAACAAACCAGUCAGUAAGAGUGUGGCCAGCUGGUGCCGUCUCAGCUCUCCAAGGCUGCUUUGGAUCUACUGACUGGGACAUUUUUAAGGAGGCUGCUAUAAAUGGUGAUGCCAAUCAACCUGGAGGAGUAUAUAAACUCUGUGAUCGAUGACAACGACAGCCAACCAAAGGCCCUGGAUGACGAGGGAAGUGCUCACACAGCUAAGAAUCAGAAAUGCAGCUUUCAGAUCUAAAGACAAGGCUGCCCUCAAGACGCCCAGAGACAACCUGUCCCGAGCUAUGAGGAUAGCCAAUCAGGCACAUGGACAGAGGAUCAGUGAACACUUUAAAUGUACCAAAGACAUACGCCGUAUAUGGCACGGCAUUCAGCCAAUCACGAUCUACGAGCCAAACUCACACAUCAGUGGCGGUGAUGUCUCCCAUCCAGAUGAGCUACAAAACUUUUUUGUACAGAAUAAGGAGCCAACACCACCCCCCCCCCCCCCCGCCCCCCCAGUGAGGAGCUACUCUGUCUGUCCACAGCUGAUCUGAGAAGUCUUCUAUCCAGAGUCAAUCUACGCAAAGCUGCAGGACCUGACAACAUACUUGGCUGAGUGCUGAGAGAAUGCUGACCACUGACCACCUGGCUGGUGUCCUCACAGAAUGCACCUCUUUAAGCCAGUGGUCUGUCCCAGCAUGCUUCAAAUUAACCACCAUCAUCCCAGUGCUGUAGAAGCCAUCAGUGACUAGCCUGAAUGACUACUGCCCUGUAGCACUCAUGUCAAUCAUCAUGAAGUGCUUGGAAAAGCUGGUCAUGGCAGUAAUAUAUAAAGACCAAUCUUCCCACCUCUCUAGACCCUCUCCGAUCUGCAUACUGGUCCAACAGGUCUACUGAGGACACCGUAGCCUCUGCCCGUCACCUUUCCUUGAUACAUCUGGGUAAGAGAGUCACAUAUGUCAGGAUGUUAUUCAUAGACUUCAGCUCUACUUUCAAUACGUCCCUCAAAAACUGAGGGGGUUAAGCUUGAACACCACUCUCUGCGGCUGGAUCUUGGAUUUCCUGACAGAGACGCCCCAGUCAGUAUGUAUGGGCUGCAACACGUCCAACACUGUCAUCAUCAAGUUUGUGGAUGAUACAACUGUGGUGGGACUGAUAAACAGAGAAGAUGAAUCAGCAUACAGAGAAGAGGUGGAAAGUCUGUCCACAAGGUGCAGAGACAACAAUCUAUCUGUCAACGUUGACAAGGCAAAGGAGAUGAUUGUGGACUUCAGAAGGACAUGACCUGCCCACACCCCACUCAGCAUCAACGGUACUGCUGUGGAGAUUGUAAGGAGAACCAAGUUCCUCGGUGUGGACAUAACUUAGGAACUUACAUGGACAAAAAAACACC